CAGCCGCCGCGGUAAUACAGAGGGUGCGAGCGUUAAUCGGAUUUACUGGGCGUAAAGCGUGCGUAGGCGGCUUUUUAAGUCGGAUGUGAAAUCCCUGAGCUUAACUUAGGAAUUGCAUUCGAUACUGGGAAGCUAGAGUAUGGGAGAGGAUGGUAAAAUUCCAGGUGUAGCGGUGAAAUGCGUAGAGAUCUGGAGGAAUACCGAUGGCGAAGGCAGCCAUCUGGCCUAAUACUGACGCUGAGGUACGAAAGCAUGGGGAGCAAACAGGAUUAGAUACCCGCGUAGUCCCUGUCUCUUAUAC
rnacentral:rRNA from 1 species